CUGCCCAGCAGGGAGGUUGUCAGGAAGUGCUAACACAUCAGUAUUAUUAUUAUUAUUGUUGUCGUGAUUUUUAUAUUGUACGGCAUCAGAACUUCCAAUUCAAGUCCUUUGCUGUUCUGAACUGGAUCUUCUGACCUGAGUCCUGGGAAACAGAGAAGUUCAAAUCCCAGCCUGGAGAGGAUGAGGAGGAGGAGGCACGGCAAGCUCCUCCUUCAGGAUUAAGACUGGUCACCUGUCCCGGGAAGCAGUUGCCCCGGCGGUGCCCAUACAGACACGGCUGAUACCUGCAGAUGCUUGCUCGGCUCUACUUCACACGGCACUCAUUCAAUCCUUCUAAAACUGUGUGAGGCAAGGACUACUAUCAUCCUCAUUUUACUGAGAAGAAAUUGGAGCGCUGAGGAGGCUAACACUGCAUCCGGUGGACACAUGUGAGUGGCUGCCUGGUUCCCGACGACUUCCCCUUUUCUGGCUGGGACUGACCUGGAACAAACAGGAACGUCCCUUGCUGCAUGCCUGAACUCUAUUUGCACGAUGAGCCUAUAGACUAUCAGUUCCCUUUCGGUAGAUUGCUGUUUGAUUCGUGAAUGAAAAAUCCCUUAAACCACAUCACUAUUGAAUGAAAAUACUGAAAUUGUAUCUGUAAGAAACAUUUAAAGCAAAGAAUAUAUUAGUUUUUAAAUUGGUAUUUUAAUUUUUAUAUAUUCAGGAAAGAACAGAAGUGAUUGAAUAUUGUUCAUUAUUACCACUGUGUGCUUAGAAAAGUAAGAAGCAGUCAGUUUCAUAUGAGUGACAGCAUUUAGAGGUAUCAUUAUGUUGGAUAAACCAUAUGUCCUGGAAUUAUUUUAGUAGGUUUCAGUAAUUUAUUAACUGUAUUUUCCCACAGGUUCAGAUUAUUUCCGGUGAAUCUUUGUCAACAGUUCCUUUUAAAUACAGAUCGAUAAGUUCCAAAAACCUGCCACUUUUUUGAGUCUUCAAUGUAAAAUCCUUAAAAUAAAGGCUGUCUCUUUUUUU